rnacentral:rRNA from 1 species
GGCUCAGGACGAACGCUGGCGGCGUGCCUAAUACAUGCAAGUCGAACGGUCUUUCUAUGGAAGCUUGCUUCCACUGAGAAGAUAGUGGCGAACGGGUGAGUAACACGUGGGUAACCUGCCCAUAAGAGGGGGGAUAACAUCCGGAAACGGGUGCUAAUACCGCAUAGUUUUCUUGAUCGCAUGAUCGGGAAAGGAAAGACGGCCUUUGUGCUGUCGCUUAUGGAUGGACCCGCGGCGUAUUAGUUAGUUGGUGAGGUAACGGCUCACCAAGACGAUGAUACGUAGCCGACCUGAGAGGGUGAUCGGCCACAUUGGGACUGAGACACGGCCCAAACUCCUACGGGAGGCAGCAGUAGGGAAUCUUCCGCAAUGGACGAAAGUCUGACGGAGCAACGCCGCGUGAGUGAAGAAAAGGUUUUCGGAUCGUAAAACUCUGUUGUCAGAGAAGAACAAGUUGGAGAGUAACUGCUCCAGCCUUGACGGUAUCUGACCAGAAAGCCACGGCUAACUACGUGCCAGCCGCUGC